rnacentral:rRNA from 1 species
UUUUGACUAUACAAAGGUAUUGUAAUAAGAUUUUAAUUGAAUGCUAAGAGAAUGGAAUUUCAGGGAAAAACUGUUUUAAACUUAAAAAUUAAAUUUAUUUUAAUUUGUGAAGAAACAAUUAUUUAAAUUAAGGACAAGAAGACCCUAAGAAUUUUAAAGAUAAUAAUUUUAAUAUUAAAAUUAUUAUCUUUUGGUUGGGGCAACUAAAAAAGAUUAUAAACUUUUUAUUUAAUAAAAUGAUCCAUUAUUAAUGAUAAUUUGAUAAAAAUACUCUAGGGAUAACAGCGUAAUAAUUUUUGAUAGAACAUAUAGACAAAAUAGUUUGCGACCUCGAUGUUGGAUUAGGAUACUUUUUUAAUGAAGAUGUUAAAAAAAGAAGUUUGUUCAACUUUUAAAG